rnacentral:rRNA from 1 species
CAAGUCGAGCGAAGUCUUCGGACUUAGCGGCGGACGGGUGAGUAACGCGUGGGAACGUACCCUUUGGUACGGAAUAGCCCCGGGAAACUGGGAGUAAUACCGUAUGGUGUCUUCGGACUAAAGAUUUAUCGCCAAAGGAUCGGCCCGCGUUGGAUUAGGUAGUUGGUGGGGUAAUGGCCUACCAAGCCGACGAUCCAUAGCUGGUUUGAGAGGAUGAUCAGCCACACUGGGACUGAGACACGGCCCAGACUCCUACGGGAGGCAGCAGUGGGGAAUCUUAGACAAUGGGCGCAAGCCUGAUCUAGCCAUGCCGCGUGAGUGAUGAAGGCCCUAGGGUUGUAAAGCUCUUUCAGCUGGGAAGAUAAUGACGGUACCAGCAGAAGAAGCCCCGGCUAACUCCGUGCCAGCAGCCGCGGUAAUACGGAGGGGGCUAGCGUUGUUCGGAAUUACUGGGCGUAAAGCGCGCGUAGGCGGAUUGAAAAGUUGGGGGUGAAAUCCCGGGGCUCAACCUCGGAACUGCCUUCAAAACUAUCAGUCUGGAGUUCGAGAGAGGUGAGUGGAAUUCCGAGUGUAGAGGUGAAAUUCGUAGAU